rnacentral:rRNA from 1 species
GAUGAACGCUGGCGGCGUGCCUAAUACAUGCAAGUCGAGCGAACAGACGAGGAGCUUGCUCCUCUGACGUUAGCGGCGGACGGGUGAGUAACACGUGGAUAACCUACCUAUAAGACUGGGAUAACUUCGGGAAACCGGAGAUAAAACCGGAUAAUAUAUUGAACCGCAUGGUUCAAUAGUGAAAGACGGUUUUGCUGUCACUAAUAGAUGGAUCCGCGCCGCAUUAGCUAGUUGGUAAGGUAACGGCUUACCAAGGCAACGAUGCGUAGCCGACCUGAGAGGGUGAUCGGCCACACUGGAACUGAGACACGGUCCAGACUCCUACGGGAGGCAGCAGUAGGGAAUCUUCCGCAAUGGGCGAAAGCCUGACGGAGCAACGCCGCGUGAGUGAUGAAGGUCUUCGGAUCGUAAAACUCUGUUAUUAGGUAAGAACAAAUGUGUAAGUAACUAUGCACGUCUUGACGGUACCUAAUCAGAAAGCCACGGCUAACUACGUG